AGAACGAACGCUGGCGGCAUGCCUAACACAUGCAAGUCGAACGAGACCUUCGGGUCUAGUGGCGCACGGGUGCGUAACGCGUGGGAAUCUGCCCUUGGGUUCGGGAUAACAGUUGGAAACGACUGCUAAUACCGGAUGAUGUCUUCGGACCAAAGAUUUAUCGCCCAAGGAUGAGCCCGCGUAGGAUUAGCUUGUUGGUGAGGUAAGAGCUCACCAAGGCGACGAUCCUUAGCUGGUCUGAGAGGAUGAUCAGCCACACUGGGACUGAGACACGGCCCAGACUCCGUACGGGAGGCAGCAGGUGGGAAUAGUUGGACAAGUGGGACGAAAGCCUAGAUCCAGGCAAUCGACCGCGGUAGAGUGAGUA
rnacentral:rRNA from 1 species